rfam:Candidatus Ruthia magnifica str. Cm (Calyptogena magnifica), complete genome.
GCGGGAAUAGCUCAGUUGGUAGAGCCCCGGAUUGUGAUUCCGGUUGUCGCGGGUUCAAACCCCGUUUCUCGCC